UUUGUUCAUGUCCGAUGAAUAUACAUUGAUUCACAUUUAAAUUUACAAUAUCAAAUCCAGACUAAUCAAAAAAAGAAAAGUAGACUAAGUGAGGACGAGUUAGAAAAACGGGUUCAUUUCUCCUAUGUUUAUGUUUACACGUUUUGUUCAGACUGCUUUACACCCCAAUCCAGUGGGUGGCGGUAAUGCCCACAUUAGACCCCUUUCACUGACGUCACCCGAAACCGGAAGUAAACAAACCCUGCGCCACAUUGGAAGACCAACAAACUCGUGAUUUGGGGGAAAUAAAGGCAGCGCGCGGUAUGUGAACCCACGAGGCACUUGGUUCAUCAUAAACCUACAAUGGUAAACUUUUGUGCUGUGUUAGGGUUCUAACAAAGCUGAUGGGAAAGGUGAAAAGAAGUCUUUCUACAGAAUACCAGCUGUGAUUGAGACACAAGCAAACCAAGGAGCUUUCUGCCAGGAGACAGAGAGAGGAUUUAGCUGCUUUAUGCAGAGCGGAUCUGAAUACUUCAAGUCUAUUUUGUUACUGGUCUGCGCCGCAGGAGGAAUAGGCCACGAUUAUAAAUAAAUCAUAAAAUGUUUCUAAGAA